ACAAGUCAAUCCCCAAUGUUGUAAGAAACUCUAUAUUUCCUCUUCUCUUGACUCAAAAGAAAUCAUAUGAUUUGUGCCAUGGCAAAGCAAGAAAUAGCUUGCCUAAUGCAGUGGAGCAGAGGGAGCUUGAAGGAGAAGAGUGGAAGUUGGAAGGGCAUGAGAAAGUGAAAGAGACUUCACCCCUGCCAAAAGCAAACCGAGUCUACUACUUAACUCUCCACCUUCAAUCCCCUCCUACCACAGAUAAUGGAGCAGUGUUCUUAGUGCAGCUCUGAGCUCCCUCCGCCUCCUCCCAUGGGUUGGCUUCGGUCCCUCUACUCCCCCUUCAAGAGGCUCUGGUUUCGCCUCCACUCUGCUCACAGAAAGAAGAGAGGGAUUUACAUCCUCUAUGAGGACGUGAAGUCGUGCCAAUGUGAGGAUGUGCAGGUUCUGUGGUCGAUCCUCGUGGAGUCGCACUCACCAAGUCUGCAUUUGAGGCGUUGAGGCAACUCCAGUUGGAUGAAAACCAGAGAAAGGUGCAGAUUUUAUAACUUUCAAUGUAAUGGUGAGAGUGUGAGAGAAGCUGCUACUCUGGUUCUAGUUCUUGCUUGCAGAAGCAAGAAUGAAAGAAAAAACACUUUGUAAAUACACAAAGAAUGAAGAAACAUAUAGACUAAAUAAAAUUACAUUUGAACAGGGUGCAUUACGAGA